UCAGUUUGCCAAAUCAUCUUAAUUCGAUGGGAAAAAUAAAAAAUUCUGCAUUUUCAAAGAAAUUAUUUGUAGGUUACAUUACAUGUAAGUGAAGGUUGUUUUGUGCGAAAAUGUGCAUCAUCUAUUCAAUAAUAUUAUGAUUCACUUUUGUUACCAAAUGUAUCCGCUGUAGCACUGGCAAUUCCAACUAUCUAGCUUGAUAAGGAUUCCGGGUUCAAAUCCUGGCAGCGGAAAAUCUUUUUGCUGCUUAUUUUUGCCUUUCACCAAUUUCAUAUAUUACCACUAGUACGCACCAAUUUCAUAUAUUACCACUAGCUACUAUUCAAAACACUAUCAUUAAACCAACAGUCAUCCCCAAGCAACACUCACAAUCACCACCAUCAACUUAGACACUUAGGGUAGAGUGUAUUGAAAAAUUAAUGCAUGCAUUAAUUUAAUGAGUAUUACUAAUACUUUGUUUGGUAUAUUUUUGCAUCCUGUGUAUAACUAAUGUUUGCAUUAGUUAUACACUCUAUUGUGUAUUGAGGUGUGUAUUACUAAUACCUCAAAAUCAAUGGUAUUAGCAAUGCAAUGGAUCCAAUACAUGCAUUAACAUGAUUAAAGACACCAUUCUCCCUAAAAAAAAAUUUCACAUCCUUUCCAACAUAUAUAUGAAGGAUAUUUUUGUAAAAAAAAAUUUUCUUUUAGAAAUUAUUUAAUUCAUGUUAUUUUUAAUACAUCAAACCAAACACAGCAUAAGAAAAAUACAAGUAUAGCUAGCACAAGCAUUACUAAUACAAGCAUUCCUAACAUACCAUAUUUUGCAUUAUUCUUAUACACUCUACCAAACGACCCCUUAUAGAUUGCUAACUAGCUACUAUUCACAACACUAUCAUUAAACCAACAAUCAUCCCCAAGCAACACUCACAAUCACCACCAUCAACUUAGACACUUAAAGAUUGCUAACUUAAGAGAUUCCCUGUUUUAUGCCAAUGGAGUCCGCUGUAGCACUGACAAUCCAAACAAAUCUAAUAUGCUUUUACAUGACUACAUGUUCAUAUGCUUCUAUUUUUAAUUGGAAAAAUUUUUUUGACCACAAUUUUUUGGUCAUAAUUUGUCCACAAUAUAAAAAGUUAGGUUCACACUAUAAGACUCUUAGGCCAACAAGGUAGGACGCGACGGUAAAAUACAUGCUAAUUAAUAAGUAGAAAGAAUGACAUUGGUGGUUGAAAUGAACCUUUCAUUAACAACAAAAAAGCUGUAAUAUGCAGAGAAGGAAGUAAUAUGAAGUCAAACCAUUUUCAAGUUUCCCACUAGAAACAGCAAAGAGUCAAUACCCCUUGUAAUAUUUUACACUCAACAACUCUUUGUACUUUAGGUGAAUUCUCAACAGAGCCUCAAUGUAUUUUAGCAACAUCACCUUAGCAAUUAUAGGAUUUACAUCAUCAUUCUUGCUAUACUUGCCAAACUUGAGGAAAAAAAAGAAGCAGCAAAUAGCAGCAGAGAAAUUGAGGAUAAUAACAGAAGCAUUAGAACAAGCAGAGGACAUAGAGUUUUAAGGUAUGAAGAAAGGCAUGACAAAUUACUAAACCAAAUAUGUUCACAUUACAUUGUAAGUCAAGAAAUAUUACAAGCACUUGCUGGUGCACGAGACGCGAUGAAUGAAGCACUUGAAUUUGCAAUUACCCUCAGAAAUUUGCAGCUAGAAGUUAUCAGAUUGUACCCUUCAGAUGAAGGUGCUUCAAGGUAUGUUUGGUUACUUGGAAAAUCAAGAAGACAAAGGAACAGUAAUUACUAGAGUAAUACAUCAUGCAUAAUACAUUAGCCUAGAUCAUGAUCUAUGUUCUUCUUUUGGUUUACAUGAUCACUAUACUAUUUUUAGACAGCCAAGACAGUAGUUAACAUCAUAGCCAAUAAAUUGAUAUGUUAGUAUAUAUUUGCUCUCAUCUCUAACAAAAUAUGAUGGUAAAUUUUUGCAAAUUUUCUAAUUUGUGACUAUCAUAUAGAAUGUUGUUAGCAACAUCUGUAUCAUCAACAAUGCUAAUUGCUUUACUAUGUUCCAAUCCCAAACAAGCUGGAUUGGCUAUAUAAAUACACAAUUCUUCAUUUAAGUCCACAUUAUAUCAAUAUCAAAAACGAAAAAUUGAAUCAAACUAGACAUAUGUUUAGUCUGAUAUGGUUUGACAUUGAAGAAAAAAUCGAAUCAAAGAAAUGCCAAUUUAUUUAUUUUGAUAAGUACCUUAAGAUUAAAUAUAGUUUAAUUUCUUGUUACAAAUUUGUCUAGACAAAUUUUGUUCAUUGGAUGUAAUAUUCGGCACAAAAAAAUGUAACAAAUGCAAAAAGGUAAGAAAGAAAAACGACAACAUAAUAGCAAUAUACAAAAUAAAUGUAGCAACACAUUAAUUCAUAUUGAAGGAAAGAAUCUACGGGAUAUCUGCAUCAUACAACUAGAAGUGUCACACCCUUUUUUUAACCGAGAAAAAUUAGAUUUUACGUUUCGAAAGGAUUUUUAUUAUUAAAGUGACAAAAUGAAGAUUUGUUUCGAAAAAGGAUUAUUUUUACAUUCAAAACUCAGAGUCGCCACUAGACAUAAUCGGGUGUGCCAAGUCACCUUAGAAAUCCUUUUUCAAAACUGUUUUGAUUCUAAAACUAGUUUGCGAAUAAAGAUUCCGACUAAGGAAUUCUAUUGACUGAGGGGAAGGUGUUAGGCAUCCCUCGAUCCCGUGGUUUGAUCACGGUCGCUUGGUGGAGCAAUAUCGGCUAAUUUAACACUAUGAAUGUAUAAACCACACAAAGCAUGCACAACAAUCAAUCAAACAGAUCAAAACAAAACAAUCCAAAAUUUAGAGUUCAGUUCGAGUUAUACAGUCCAAAAAUAGAAAAAUAUGAAAAUAUAAAUCCUAUUCUAAACUAGACCUAUACUAAGCUCCAAUGCUCUACCCGAUGCCUCAGGCCUUCAUCACGAACCUCCUUUGUGUACAUGAUACAUCGGGGCAAUCCCCAGUGAAUAGAUACAAGUACCUCGGGGCAUUCCCCGGCCAAAUGAGUCCAAUUGAAUUAAAUGCGAUAAAACAAAAUCAUUCCAACACAUAUUUCAAACAUGCCAUUAAUCCACUAUGCCUAAAUUUGCCUACCCAAGCCUAUCACUUGCCUAUCCAUUCUCGACUUAAUACAUAAAUCUAUCACGUGUCAUAUCAAUAAUAAAUCAAAAUUAAUCCAAAUCUAUCUUUUUUGUCAAUUUUCAAUUUCCACCCUCAACUUCCUUUUUAGCAAUCGUACUAUCAAAAUUGCUCAAAUUCGUCCCGUAUAUUAACGAAACCACAUCAACAAGCACAUAAUCAAAACAUCAACCAAGUCCAAUAAUUACAAUCACCCCACACAUAAUCACAACAUGAUAUACCAAAUUAAAAUAAAAUAAAGAGUAAAAGUUGUAGAGAUGGACCUUUCGAUAAUCGACUUUCGUUGAUAAUAAAAAUUAGAGAAGCCCGACCUUGGAAACCGAAUAGAAAACCUCGACUCCAAAUUCACGAGUUGACUAACACCGGUUCAAAAUAUCGAUAACCCCCAAAUUCUAAGUUGAACAGAGAUCUAAAAUACCCUCAGACAAUCGAAACAAAGGUUGCGUCAAGAUAGCCAAAAGAAAAACCAUAUAAUUUCGGAGUGACCUUGAUGGAAUCAAAUCAAGAAUGAACUGGAUGAUAAAUUCGAACAAGGGCUGAGAUGUUGGAGCUCCGAUAAGCUCAAACAACGUCUAGAAAGCGAAGUACAGGUUGGAUCUCGAAGGCAGUAGUGUUUCCGGUGUGAUUUUCAUCGGAUUUUACUGUUCUUUCGUCCGAUCUCCCUUAAAAUACAUCCAUUUUUCCUCACUGUACGUGUGUGUGUGCUGGUUACUGUGUGUGCGGGAAUGAUGGUGAAGAAGAAGAAACCUAGAUCCCCUUUUCUCUCAAAUUCCCGUCUGUGUGUGUAGGUGAAUCCCAAAAGAAAGAAGAAAGAAGAAGGUGAUGGUGUCUACCCUUUCCACCUCUAUAUAAUUGAUGGAUCCCCUUUCUCUAUUUGUGAUGGUGUAUCUGAGAGCUGCCCUUGAAAUUAUUGUUGUGUCGUGUAUAUAUGCGUGUGUGCUCUGUGUGAGAAGAAGAAGAAUAAGGAAAAGAAAAAUGGCGUGAGGUGAAUUUUUGUGCAUGUGGGUCUCUGUGCCUGUAUUAAAAAUGGAGUCUCUCUUCUCUCACGCUAUUUCAGUGUUUGGGUGUAUCUGUAUAUGGUAGUUUGUGUUUAUGGUCCCUUGCUUUUUAAAGGAAUUUUGGUGUCUUUUUUGUGAGGUGUAUCCGUGGGGUCCACCAUUCAAAAAUGGGAAUUGUAUUAGUAGUAUUAUAUUGAGGGAAAAAUUCCCUGUGGGCCCUCAUUUUUUGUUGUGAUUUGGUUAAAAGGAAUCCAAAAGAAUGUGAGAGGGUGGGGUGACAUGGGUAUAGGGAUGUGGGGUGUAGGGGUAUGGGAUAGGUGAGGUGUCGUCUUUUAAUUGGAGAGGUUGUUAGGAUAAGAUAAAAUUAGUUAGGAGUUGUUAUUUUUUGUAUUUUUUGUGGGGUAUAAUUAUAUGGGUAAGGGUACACGGUAGGAUAAGGUAAAAAUGGAUAAAAAUGAUAUCGGGGAGGGACGAAAUUAGGUGUCUACAUCAUACCCCCUUUGAAUGUAAACAUGAAGUGUUUUCAGACAAAGAAGUAGACAACAAGACAGAAUUUUGUCCCAACCAUUAUUUAAAGGAAGAAACAAAAGAAAGAAGGACAAUCGAAUCCUGUCGGACACCCUAUCUACCCAAGUCAUGAGGAGGUCACAAGUAUCUCAAAGGGUUGGAAGAGAAGUAGACUAUACCGAGUUGGAGAGUCGAGUGAGGUUCCAUCGAGGUUCCGGUCCGCGGCUCUGUCAUUAUAUCAAAAAUGAAAAUUACAAGUUAAAACAUAAAUGAAAUUACAAAAUCCUAUCUAUACAGCUUCUGUUGGCUCUUGACUCGACUUUUAUCACCCUAUUCUUCAAGCGGGCUCCUGACUUGCAAUUUCUUUCAACUUGUUGCUUGGCUUUCAAUUGAUUUGCUUUGUUGCUUGACUUUUCAUUUCUUCACCCUAUUCUCCAGGUGGGCUCCUGACUUGCUAUUUCAUCACUUUGUUGCUUGACUUUUUAUUUCUUCACUCUGUUCUCCAAACGGACUCCUGACUUGCUAUUUCAUCACCCUGUUCUUCAGGCGGGCCCCUGAAACUGAAAAUUAAAAUUAGAACGAAAAUUAUCCCAAACAAAAUUAUAGUAAAGUAGUAUUGCAUUUUUGAAAGGGUUGUCCCAUUUUCCAGGAGGGUCCUGAACAGAAAGUAAAAUUCCAUUUUUCAGGAGGGUCCUGAACAGAAGGUAAAGUCCCAUUUUUCAGGAGGGUCUUGAACUGAAAGUAAAUUCUCAUUCUCCAGGAGGGUCCUGAACAGAAAGUAAAAUCCUAUUCUCCAGGAGGGUCCUGAACAGAAAGUAAAAUCCUAUUUUUCAGGAGGGUCCUGAACAGAAGGUAAAGUCCCAUUUUUCAGGAGGGUCCUAAACUGAAAGUAAAUUCCCAUUCUUCACAAGGGUCCUGAGCAUAAAAUAGAAUCCCAGUUUUCAGGAGGGUCCUGAACAUAAAGUAAAAUCUCAUUUUUUAGGAGGGUCCUGAACAGAAGGUAAAGUCUCAUUUUUUAGGAGGGUCCUGAACAUAAAGUAACAUCCCAUUUUCCAGGAGGGUCUUGAACAUAAAGUAAAAUCCCAUUUUUCAGUAGGGUCCUGAACAUAAAGUGAAAGCCCAUUUUUCAGGAGGGUCCUGAACAGAAAGUAAAAUCCCAUUUUUCAGGAGGGUCCUGAACAAAAGUAAAGUCCCAUUUUUUAGGAGGUUCCUGAAAUCACAUCAAAACUAAAAAGAAAAUUAUCCCAAACAAAAAUUAUUAUAAAGAGGUUUUAUUUGCCAGAAAAGUAAAGUUUCAAAAACAGAAAUUGAAUUUUUGCCCCAGUUUAUCAUUAGAAGACUUUUGGAAAAGUCACAUCAUACCUACUUGCAUGUUGCAAUNNNNNNNNNNNNNNNNNNNNNNNNNNNNNNNNNNNNNNNNNNNNNNNNNNNNNNNNNNNNNNNNNNNNNNNNNNNNNNNNNNNNNNNNNNNNNNNNNNNNNNNNNNNNNNNNNNNNNNNNNNNNNNNNNNNNNNNNNNNNNNNNNNNNNNNNNNNNNNNNNNNNNNNNNNNNNNNNNNNNNNNNNNNNNNNNNNNNNNNNNNNNNNNNNNNNNNNNNNNNNNNNNNNNNNNNNNNNNNNNNNNNNNNNNNNNNNNNNNNNNNNNNNNNNNNNNNNNNNNNNNNNNNNNNNNNNNNNNNNNNNNNNNNNNNNNNNNNNNNNNNNNNNNNNNNNNNNNNNNNNNNNNNNNNNNNNNNNNNNNNNNNNNNNNNNNNNNNNNNNNNNNNNNNNNNNNNNNNNNNNNNNNNNNNNNNNNNNNNNNNNNNNNNNNNNNNNNNNNNNNNNNNNNNNNNNNNNNNNNNNNNNNNNNNNNNNNNNNNNNNNNNNNNNNNNNNNNNNNNNNNNNNNNNNNNNNNNNNNNNNNNNNNNNNNNNNNNNNNNNNNNNNNNNNNNNNNNNNNNNNNNNNNNNNNNNNNNNNNNNNNNNNNNNNNNNNNNNNNNNNNNAUGAGUUCCCAGACUUGUCGGUUGACAAAACUUUCUGCAUGCCUUGUUUUGGCUCACAAUCAUGUCUCUUUCAUGCUGGUCUUUUGUCUUGCUUUCUGUAAUUGAAGAAGCUGGUAGCCAGUUUUGAAAUCUUUUCUCAGUUGUUUUGACAUAGACUUGACUCAACAACAAGAGAAAAAUGACGAUGACUUUUAUUUGGAUAACUGACUCAAGAAAGAUAAACAAAAUAAAGAGAAGAAAGAAAAGAUAAUGAAUGUCCCAAUUGAAACAAAGAAAUAAAAAUUUAUCUAAAAAUGACAGUCAACUCCAAAGAUUAUGCCAUGCCUUUUGGGUCAGGCUGCCUGAUCUUUCCAUCCAAACUUUCUACCAAUUGUUGUUGAGUUAAUGGCCUUGAAACUGAGAUGUUUCCUUAGGUCAAUUGCAUUUAAGCCCUCGUUCGGCUAGUGGCGCCUUGGAGGUUUUUUUUUUCAAGAAGCCUCUCUUAUUUUUUCUAGCUCACCAUUGCCUUAUGGUGUCCGUGAGGGUUUUUCACCAAUGAGACUCACUUAUUUUCAUUUGUCUCAACUCACCGUCGUCUUACCGUUCCCGUGAGGGUUUUCACCGAUAAGACUCUCUCAUUGUUAUCUGUCUCAGCUUACCAUCAUCUUACGGUACCCGUGAGGGUUUUCACCUAUAAGACUCUCUCAUUUCAUUUCUCUCCUGAUUCCUUAUGCUAAGGAAGACAAGUAGUUCCUAAAAUGCAUCAUCACAUCCAUUGCAUGCUUAGCCUUAACAUUCUCAAAGAUUGAUCUGAAGGUCUUUCUUUGGUUGUAACUUGGCUUUUGGAUAGGGUUAGAAAGAAAGGAUGACAUGAGGCCCAAACGAUACUUGAAGUGGGUUAGGACUUACAACUUUNNNNNNNNNNNNNNNNNNNNNNNNNNNNNNNNNNNNNNNNNNNNNNNNNNNNNNNNNNNNNNNNNNNNNNNNNNNNNNNNNNNNNNNNNNNNNNNNNNNNNNNNNNNNNNNNNNNNNNNNNNNNNNNNNNNNNNNNNNNNNNNNNNNNNNNNNNNNNNNNNNNNNNNNNNNNNNNNNNNNNNNNNNNNNNNNNNNNNNNNNNNNNNNNNNNNNNNNNNNNNNNNNNNNNNNNNNNNNNNNNNNNNNNNNNNNNNNNNNNNNNNNNNNNNNNNNNNNNNNNNNNNNNNNNNNNNNNNNNNNNNNNNNNNNNNNNNNNNNNNNNNNNNNNNNNNNNNNGUUCAACAUAUCACUCCACUUUUGUUGUACAAUCCUCACAUUGAAUGACUCAUGCUUUUGUGGAGUUGAUUUUUCUGUCCCUCGGUAUCAUACACCCGCUAUUUGAUCUAAUUGAGCCAUGUUUUUCAAUUGAUGACCAAGUUAUUCUUGUGAUUCUCAAAAUAAUUGCCUUAAUUUUCAAAGAAGGCUUGAACUUGUCACCAAAUGUCUCAGCACACUACCUAUUUUCUCAGAUGCUCUUUUUUUCUAACUUUAACCCUCUGAUUCAAUGUUCAUGCUUAAAUUAAAUUUUAAGAUUAGGCUGAAAAUUCCGCUAGCAUGUCAUAUCACUAGAAUUAACCUAAAAUGUACUAUGUAAAGAAAACAAACAAACAACACAUUUAAAACACAAAGGAAAAAGGGACACUUUAUUUAAUUAAAAUAAAAUAUAGAAGGAUUUGAACAUAACGACAAAUGGACAAAACAAGCUAGAUCCUGAACUACAACCCUGGAAUAAUUCGGAUAACAUAAAAUAAAACAAAACAAACUACCAGACCUCUUCCUAGUAGGGAGAGAGGUGACUUCUCAAUUGCUCGGCCUGUCAUCUUAGCCACUGGUUUGUAUAUCAGCAUGACUAGAGUUUUCCUCAUCGUCAAUGUUCGGCACCAUAAGCAAUUUGUCUUGAAUCAUCUUUUCAAUUUCUCUUUUCAAAGCACAACAAUCUUUAAUACUGUGACCCUGAACAUCAGAAUGAUAUGCACAUCCUACAUUAGGAUCAAAUCUUCUUGAAUUCGGGUAAAGAGUAUACCCAAGGAGAGGAGUGAUCAUACCUCACGGUGCCAAUCUCUGAAAUAAACUGACAUACGACUCUCCAAUUAGUGUGAAACUAUCCCUCAAUUUCUGCCUUAUUUCAUUAUUUAACUUGGAUCGAACAUCGAGCCUAGAAGGGAUUUGGUAUGACCUAAUUGAGUAAUGUUUUUCAAUUGAUGACGAAGUUAUUCUUGUAAUUCUCAUAUGGUUGUUGCCAAUAUACUAGAUAUGGAGGUGGGGAUCUAGAUAUGGAGGUGGGGAAACAGAGUAUAUUGGAUUUUGAGAGUGAUUAUGGAGAGCUUGGGUAUGAACUUGGGCUUGAGACUGACGGCAACGACGACGUCGUCUUCUUGGAUGUGCCCGUUCUCCAACUACAAUAGCAGUGUCAUCUUUCUCAUUCUUUUUUCUCCAGGUUCCCUCAAUUGAUUGCAAUAUUGUCCCAAAUGUUUCACGGAUUUCUCAUGCCCAUCUUGCUCCUCAAAUUUUGACAUCUCAAAGAUUGGAGGAAGGUUAGCACUUGAAGGCAUGCCCCAGUCUUUGUAUGAAACUUCUUCUUUAACCAUAGGUCCUAGAGAAUUUUUCAUAACAUGUUCUACACUCUUCAUUUUUCCAACCAUUUUCUCCGACUCUUAUGGCACACUGGACUUCUUGUUAAGAAAUUUUGGUGGUUCAGUUAACUUAAAAGCAGGCUCAGGAGUAUAACAAUGAUCACCAAAAGUAUUGAAUAUAAGUUCACUAGCAGCAUGGGGAUGCACAACCGUUGGGCGAGCCAGUGUGGAAGUCCCAGUAGAGGAUUGAGCAACAAGAUCGCUGAUGACAUGUGGUGUUGUGAAUGUAGCAGGCUUAUGCUGAGGAGCUAGAGGAAAAGUGGUGGAAGUAUUGAGAUGCUUUUGGCUUGGAAUGAAUUCUGAGUCAUGUUGCAGCGCAUCAACAACAGUAGAAAACUGACUUUGCGAUUUUGGUGGAAGACUCAAGGUAUUUGCAGGGACAAAAGUGGGGAACGGAGGUGGAGGCAGCCCACUGGCCUAAGCUCGGUAAAUUUCCAUCAUUUGUUGUCUCAGUCUCAAAUUCUCUUCCUUUAAACUCUCAAUUUCCUGACUCUUUGUUUCAUCCAUGAUGCCACUCUCUAUAUCCUUGUUGGAUCAGCCAGGAAGCCAUAAACCAACCACCUUAAACUAACUGAACAAGAGGUGACAAAUAUGUUAGAGUUCAAUAUUUUUUCUUCAAAACCCUUUUUUUUUAGAAAAGAUCACCGAACCCAAGAAGGGCGCCUACGUAUCUCACCCCCGAAAAAGAAGAAUCAGGUGUGCGUAGUUCGUGAAGUUUUGUCAAAAUGACCAAUUAAACUUUUUCCUUUCUUUUUUUCUUUUCUUGAAACUUUGAAAAAAGAAGAAAAUAACAAAUUGUCAAAAGAAUAGCCUCUUUUUGCAUUUUCACGUUUAAAAUUCCUGUACAAAAUGAAACCUAUGAUUACCAAAGAAAAAUCUUUUUGGAUUUUCAAUUUUGAAUUUCAUAUGAAAAUGAAACUUGAACCUAUUAAAGAAAAAUCUUUUUGUAGUUUUCUUUUAAAGAUGUAUAUGAAACACUUACUCUAAAUAAAGAGUGAAGAAAAUCUUUUUGAAUUUUUGAAAUAAGAUCAACCAAAAAUGAAACCUACGACUAUUGAGAAAGUUUUUUUUUUCUUUGUUUUUUUGUAUUUUUCUUUUCAAGAUAUGUAUGAAACACCUACUCUAAAUAAAGAGUGAAUAAAAUCUUUCUAAAUUUUUUAAAUAAGAUCCCCGAACCAAUAAUAGGCUACCUACGUAUCUCACUCCCAAAAGAGGAGAAUCAGGGGUGCGUAGUUCGUUCAGAUUGGACAAUUAAUGAUUAAAUAACGGAUUGCACCCUGACUUGAGACACGACCAAAGACAUACAAUGAAAAACAUAACAAAAUCUUUUUUUAUUUUUUCAGUUUUCAAUUUGAUACUUCACAUAAAAAAUGACACCAACAGCUAUGAAAGAAUUUUUUUUUUUUUUUGAUAUUUUCAUUAUAUGAAAUGUACAAAACUUCUACCACCUUUUUUUUGCAUUUUUCUUUUUAUAAAAAGAUCCUAAAAAAUCUUUUUGGAGUUUUCGAAUUGUGAAUGUUUGUUAAAGGAAACACAAGGAAAAUCUUUUUGAUUUUUUUUUUUUUUGAAAAAUGAGUGCAAAAAGUAAAAAAAAUCUUUUUUGAAUUUUGAAUUGUGGAAUUGUGGAAAACAAAAGCCAUAAAAAACUCUAAAAACUACAAAACUCUUUUUUUUUUUUCACACACUUUACUUCUAACACAUGCUUUACCCCACAUCAGUCUGUCAAAUGACCACGUUAUCCUCAAAGAUGCAGCAUUUAGCACGUAGGGAUGCUUUAGGGGUGAGUCUCCUACAAAGAACCGUGUGGGCCCCGCUAGGUCUCAAUAUGAUGCACAUAAGAAUGUCCUAUAGGCUGACCUACAUUGUGGUUUGCUAACAAGGCUGUUCGGGGGAGCAAAUGGUCGAUAGUGGCUGCUUUGCUUUCCACCUACUCCAUACAUCCAAUGGCUCCCCCCUAAAAUACAGGUGACUCAACUAGAGUUCGUGCGCACGACGUGCGCUCCGAGACUUGUUGCGGAAAGAAUGACUCGGGUUAUGCACAUGAUGUCAGAUAUAAAAACGGUAAACACAUAAGAUAAAUACUGUAAACAAAGAGCACGAAAACACACAAAAGUGAAAACACAAACAAAGAUCACAAACAAUGCUUAUACACUCGUAAUUCCAAACAAAGCCGAUAGACUCCAAAAAAAAGCUUGGAUUCUGAAAUAGUUCCCCAGCAGAGUCGCCAGAGCUGUCACACCCUUUUUUUAAUCGAGAAAAAUUAGAUUUUACGUUUCGAAAGGAUUUUUAUUAUUAAAGUGACAAAAUGAAGAUUUGUUCCAAAAAAGGAUUAUUUUUACAUUCAAAACUCAGAGUCGCCACUUGGCAUAAUCGGGUGUGCCAAGUCACCUUAGAAAUUCUUUUUUCAAAAACUGUUUCGACUCUAAAACUGGUUUACAAACAGAGAUUUCGACUAAGGAAUUCUAUUGACUGAGGGGAAGGUGUUAGGCAUCCCUCGAUCCCGUGGUUUGACCACGAUCGCUUGGUGGAGCAAUAUCGACUAAUUUAACACUACAAAUGUAUAAACCACACAGAGCAUGCACAACAAUCAAUCAAACAGACCAAAACAAAACAAUCCAAAAUUUAGAGUUUAGUUCGAGUUAUACAGUCCAAAAAUAGAAAAAUACGAAAAUAUAAAUCCUAUUCUAAACUAGACCUAUACUAAGCUCCAAUGCUCUACCCGAUGCCUCGGGCCUUCAUCACGAACCUCCUUUGUGUACAUGAUACAUCGGGGCAUUCCCCAGUGAAUAGAUACAAGUACCUCGGGGCAUUCCCCGGCCAAAUGAGUCCAAUUGAAUUAAAUGCGAUAAAACAAAACCAUUCCAACACAUAUUUCAAACAUGCCAUUAAUCCACUAUGCCUAAAUUUGCCUACCCAAGCCUAUCAUUUGCCUAUCCAUUCUCGACUUAAGACAUAAAUAUAUCACGUGUCAUAUCAAUAAUAAAUCAAAAUUAAUCCAAAUCUAUCCUUUUUGUCAAUUUUCAAUUUCCACCCUCAACUUCCUUUUUAGCAAUCACACUAUCAAAAUUGCUCAAAUUCGUCCCGUAUAUUAACGAAAUCACAUCAUCAAGCACAUAAUCAAAACAUCAACCAAGUCCAAUAAUUACAAUCACCCCACACAUGAUCACAACAUGAUAUACCAAAUUAAAAUAAAAUAAAGAGUAAAAGUUGUAGAGAUGGACCUUUCAAUAAUCGACUUUCGUUGAUGAUAAAAAUUAAAGAAGCCCGACCUUGGAACCCGAAUAGAAAACAUCGACUCCAAAUUCAUGAGUUGACUAACACCGGUUUAAAAUAUCGAUAACCCCCAAAUUAUGAGUUGAACAGAGGUCUGAAAUACCCACAGACAAUCAAAACGAAGGUUGCGUCAAGAUAACCGAAAGAAAAAUCAUAUAAUUCCAGAGUGACCUUGACGGAAUCAAAUCAAGAACGAACUGGAUGACAAAUUCGAACAGGGGCUGAGACGCCGGAGCUCCGAUAAUCUCAAACAACAUCUAGAAAGCGAAGUACAGGUUGGAACUCGAUGGCAGUAGUGUUUCCAGUGUGAUUUUCAUCGGAUUUUACUGCUCUUUCGUCCGAUCUCCCUUAAAAUACAUCCAUUUUUCCUCACUGUACGUGUGUGUGUGCUGGUUACUGUGUUUGCGGGAAUGAUGGUGAAGAAGAAGAAACCUAGAUCCCCUUUUCUCUCAAAUUCCCGUCUGUGUGUGUAGGUGAAUCCCAAAAGAAAGAAGAAAGAAGAAGGUGAUGGUGUCUACCCUUUCCACCUCUAUAUAAUUGAUGGAUCCCCUUUCUCUAUUUAUGAUGGUGUAUCUGAGAGCUGCCCUUGAAAUUAUUGUUGUGUCGUGUAUAUAUGCGUGUGUGCUCUGUGUGAGAAGAAGAAGAAUAAGGAAAAGAAAAAUGGCAUGAGGUGAAUUUUUGUGCAUGUGGGUCUCUGUGCCUAUAUUAAAAAUGGAGUCUCUCUUCUCUCACGCCAUUUCAGUGUUUGGGUGUAUCUGUAUAUGGUAGUUUGUGUUUAUGGUCCCUUGCUUUUUAAAGGAAUUUUGGUGUCUUUUUUGUGAGGUGUAUCCGUGGGGUCCACCAUUCAAAAAUGGGAAUUGUAUUAGUAGUAUUAUAUUGAGGGAAAUAUUCCCUGUGGGCCCUCAUUUUUUGUUGUGAUUUGGUUAAAAGGAAUCCAAAAGAAUGUGAGAGGGUGGGGUGACAUGGGUAUAGGGAUGUGGGGUGUAGGGGUAUGGGAUAGGUGAGGUGUCGUCUUUUAAUUGGAGAGGUUGUUAGGAUAAGAUAAAAUUAGUUAGGAGUUGUUAUUUUUUGUAUUUUUUGUGGGGUAUAAUUAUAUGGGUAAGGGUACACGGUAGGAUAAGGUAAAAAUGGAUAAAAAUGAUAUCGGGGAGGGACGAAAUUAGGUGUCUACAAGAAGUAAGAUAAAACUCAACUAUCUACUAACCUUCUAUCCUUAUCCUCGGUCGACCUCUCAUACUUCCUCUUCACCAAGCUAUCUCAAUCGCACUUCUCUCAUCUUGAUCACUGUCACUUUUGUCCUAAAUAACUUCAUUAUUAAGAUAUGUAAAAAAUUUAUAAUUUACAUAAAUGAAAAAUCUACAAAUUAUGCAUCAUUUUUUCUAACUCAUGAAUGUUAAUAUUAACGGGAACUUGCAUAGGAUAGUUGAAGUCAACGGGGGCAAAAUCAUGCAUUGGAUUUGAUUCUGCUGAGUUCUCCCGUGAAGACAUAAUUUCUUCAAGUUUCAGCUCGUCUCUCGGCUCCGGUUCCAUUCCUUGGUUUCUUCUUUUCGCUCUAAUCCAAUCUCUGAGGCAAACUAGAACAUUCAUUGCAUUGCUUCCCAAUGAGUGUCGAUUGUCUCCAAGCUGCUGUCGUCCCUGACUAAAGGCGCUCUCUGAUGCAACGGUUGACAUUGGAACAUUCAAGAUAUCUCUAGCCAAUCUUGAAAGCACAGGAUAUUGUGUUUCAUUACUCCUCCACCAAUCCAAUGUGUUGAUCCUUCGUCUGCGAUCCUCUGGCACCGAUCGAAGAUAAUAUUUCAGCUCUUCCCUAUAAGUUGAUGUGUAAGCUCUCUCAUCAACACUGUUCCAACAAGUUAAAUCAUAAAAGGAAUCAGGAAAACCACUAUGUGCUGGCCUUUUAGAAGAUGAUGGCUUCUCGGGAGGAUGAAGAGCGACAGUAGGAGUGAUAUUUGUAGGUACGGCUAAAUCAAAUAAAUCAGCAUAGUGAUUAUAUAAUUUUUCUACGUAAUCCUUUGCAUCAUUCAUAACCGCCCACAAAUCAGGUUGUACUUGUUCAGAAUCAUGGUUAAUAUUUAUUUCUAAGUUAUUAUAAAUAAUAGUAGUAAAGUGACACAUAUUAUUAUAUUUCAUGCACGGAUUUAACAUAGCACCAACCAAGUAAAUAGGUGGAAUCGAAAUUUCUUUUUAAAAAAAUUUAGUAAACAUGACACCAACAACUUCGUUAUAACCUUCUUUAUUUUUAUAUUCUUUGAGCGAACCAGAAAUAUCGGCUAUAUAUGCCAAAAUAUUACAAACAGUGGGAUAAUAAACACCAAAAAAUUCAACCGAAGCAACAUAAAAUUUUUCUAAAAACUUAACAAGAUCCUUAAUCACAACCCAAUGAGAAUCAUGUAGCAUGUAAUCAGCAGAAUCAACAAGUGAACCGCAAUGUUGGUUAAAAGCUAGUGUAAUAGGAAUUCUAUAUUUAUAACAAGUUUUUAAAAAUUCAUACGUAGAAUUCCAUCUAGUAUCAAUUUCCUCAGGCAUCAAUAUCGGCGCAAGUCCAUUUUCUUGGCAUUUAACUUUAAAUUCUCUAAUUCUCGAUCUACGAUUAUUUUCUUGAAUAAAACCACCAGCAAGACGAAUUUUUUCAAUAUAAAGCUCAAAAAACUCAAAAUCAUCUUUUACAAUUAAAUUGUAUAUAUGACACGCGCACUUAAUAUGAAAAAUUUCAGGCAACGACGGAGAUAGCGUAAAUUUUAAUUUUUUUUAUAGCAGUAUUGUUGUUAGAAGCAUUAUCAAAAGCAGUACAUAAAAUUUUAUUUUCGAUACCAUAAUAUCCGACAACUUUAACAAUAGAAUCAGCAAUAAAAUCUCCAGUAUGUUUACGAUCUUCAUCAUAUAAAAAAGCAAGAAUACGUUUUUGCAUCACAAAAUUAUUAUCCAUCCAGUGACAAGUAACAGUUAAAUAAUCAUUUUUAUUUUCAGCACGUCCAAGAUCAGAAGUUAAGGACAAUCUACAUUGAAUAUUUUUUAACAAUGUUGUUAAAUAAAAACAAUAUUGUGAAUGAAGUCUAAAAAUAUCAGACCGAUAAGCACUUCUAGGAAUACCGUUAAACAUAGGAUUAUAAAUUGCUUGUAUAUAAUGAAUAAAGACAUCAGAAGAAGGAAAACUAAAAAAGGCAAACAACCCACAACUACCAUUUUAGCUAUUUUUUUCCGGUCCCUCAAUUUAUUAUACUUCUUCGUUACCUGACCGGUUGCUGGGUCCAUUCUAGUUUGUGUUGGCCCACCAACAUCCCCACCACCUCGUGCAAUAUUUAACUCUCUUUCGUGAGCUUCACCUAUAUGUCUCAUUAACGUACCCGUACCCCCUUACUUGCCUCCGCUUCUAUGCUUAUAUAUUUGUUGAAAAAUAUUGCAUUGCACCUCAGUAUCUGAUAUUCGUUCAAAAAAUUGCCAUGCAACACUAGUUCUUUUACGAGGUCUUGCGGCACGAGGAGGACGGGGAGGGAGAUUAACCGAUUCAGAUUUAACGUUAGCAUUUCCUACUGCGGGUGUCUCACCACUAUUUUUAUUUUCUUUGUCUAAAUUAACCGCAUCUACUUCAUUUUCUUCUUCUAUACCGUAAUUUUUUUGAGCUUCUCCAUAAUCCAUAUAGUGAGCACCUACACCUAUUUCUUCCUCAAAAAGUGUACCAAGCGGUACUGGAGGCGAAGGCAUACAGGUAUAGCUACUACUUGAACUAUCUCUACCGCUAGUAAUUUAUUUUUUACUACCACUACCACUUCCGGGACAAAUUUUUUUAACACCUUUAGUAGCGAGGUUUCUUAAUUUAUCCAUACUAUAAAUUAAAUUAAACUAAAAAAAUUCAAAAUACACAAAUAUAAUAAAAUUAAAUAUUAAACAAUUAAUACAAUAAAUAAAAAUUAAACGUAAGAGAUGGAACGACAAUACCAAAUUUUGGAAGUAUCUCCGAAGGUUGGACUUUAGAAACUUCCGCUCGUAAUUUGUAAACGUAAAAUUAAAAAAUUAAAGUGAACACUUUAAGAAAUUAAAUAUAUUGACUAUUUCAGAAUUGAGAAUUGAGAAUUGAGAAUUGAGAAUUGAGAGAGAAUGAGAUUUGAGAGAGUGAAAAAUUAUGUGAAAAAUGAUUUGAAGGUGUAGGGUAUUUAUAGAAUUUUUUUGGGAUUAAACAAUUAUUUUACAAGUAAAAUAUUUUUUUUUUAAAAGAAAUGGGCCCAAACUAGCCGUUUGGACCCAAAAACGGCUAUAUAGCCGUUGGGCCAAUGGCUAGCUUGGCCCAAAACUCAAUUUUUUUUUUUUAAAAAGAUUCCGGGCUGGGCCGGUUAACCGGCGAGCCUGGAUCGGGCUAGGUUCGGGCCUGGUUAACGAGGCCCAAAUUAAAAAAAUAACAGGCUCGGGAACCCUAAAGCCCUAGGGCUUACCGGGCUGGGACAAACCGGGCCGGGGCCUUUAGGUGGACGGGUAGGGCCGGGUCAGCACGACCUACUUGACAGGCUUAGUUGAAAUGAACCUUUCAUUAACAACCAACAAGCUGUAAUAUGCAGAGAAGGAACUAAUAUGAAGUCAACCCAUUUUCAAGUUUCCCACUAGAAACAGCAAAGAAUCAAUAUCCCUUGUAAUAUUUUACAUUCAACAACUCUUUGUACUUUAGGUGAAUUCUCAACAGAGCCUCAAUGUAUUUUAGCAACAUCACCUUAGCAAUUAUAGGAUUUACAUCAUCAUUCUUGCUAUACUUGCCAAACUUGAGGAAAAAAAAGAAGCAGCAAAUAGCAGCAGAGAAAUUGAGGAUAAUAACAGAAGCAUUAGAACAAGCAGAGGACAUAGAGUUUUAAGGUAUGAAGAAAGGCAUGACAAAUUACUAAACCAAAUAUGUUCACAUUACAUUGUAAGUCAAGAAAUAUUACAAGCACUUGCUGGUGCACGAGACGCGAUGAAUGAAGCACUUGAAUUUGCAAUUACCCUCAGAAAUUUGCAGCUAGAAGUUAUCAGAUUGUACCCUUCAGAUGAAGGUGCUUCAAGGUCUGUUUGGUUACUUGGAAAAUCAAGUAGACAAAGGAACAGUAAUUACUAGAGUAAUACAUCAUGCAUAAUACAUUAGCCUAGAUCAUGAUCUAUGUUCUUCUUUUGGUUUACAUGAUCACUAUACUAUUUUUAGACAGCCAAGACAGUAGUUAACAUCAUAGCCAAUAAAUUGAUAUGUUAGUAUAUAUUUGCUCUCAUCUCUAACAAAAUAUGAUGGUAAAUUUUUGCAAAUUUUCUAAUUUGUGACUAUCAUAUAGCAUGUUGUUAGCAACAUCAGUAUCAUCAACAAUGCUAAUUGCUUUACUAUGUUCCAGUCCCAAACAAGUUGGAUUGGCUAUAUAAAUACACAAUUCUUCAUUCAAGUCCACAUUAUAUCAACAUCAAAAACGAAAAAUUGAAUCAAACUAGACAUAUGUUUAGUCUGAUAUGGUUUGACAUUGAAUAAAAAAUCGAAUCAAAGAAAUGCCAAUUUAUUUAUUUUGAUAAGUACCUUAAGAUUAAAUAUAGUUUAAUUUCUUGUUACAAAUUUGUCUAGACAAAUUUUGUUCAUUGGAUGUAAUAUUCGGCAUAAAAGAAAUGUAACAAAUGCAAAAAGGUAAGAAAGAAAAACGACAACAUAAUAGCAAUAUACAAAAUAAAUGUAACAACACAUUAAUACAUAUUGAAGGAAAGAAUCUAUGGGAUAUUUGAAUCAUACAACUAGAAGUACGAUAAAACUCAACUAUCUACUAACCUUCUAUCCUAAUCCUCGAUCGACCUCUCAUACCUCCUCUUCACCAAACUAUCUCAAUCGCACUUCUCUCAUCUCUCAUCUUGAUCACUCUCACUUUUGUCCCGAAUAACUUCAUUAUUAAGAUAUGUAAAAAAAAUAAAUUAGGAAUUUCAAGGGACUAAAAAAAAAGAUAAAAUAUAAUAAGAAGGAGAAGAGAAACAUAUACCAUUAAAACUUUUCCAUGGUUGCCAAAUUAUCCUUAAUUGGAAGGAGCCAUUUGUUCAAAGAAAACUUUUGGUGGUUUGUGCAAUUUAAGGUUAUCUUGUGCAUAAAUGUGAAUUAAGUAUCUCUAGAAAUGUAAAUAUAAAUUAAUUUUUGUUGCCAAAAUUAGCAACUAAAUGUCCGCUGUAGCACUGGCAAUUACAAUUUGGUAAUCCGGGUUCAAGCCCCGGCAGCGGAAAAUCUUUUUGCAACAUAUUUUCCCUUAUCAUUUGUGUAUUUAAUGGAAUAUUAUCUUUUUUCAAACUUCCAAUAUCCCAUAAAUAUGUGACAUUCUAAAAUUAUUGACAGACAACACAAUUGCAAACAUUUAACUUAUUUGUGCUUAAAUUAAGGUCACAGUUUAAUCUUGAUCAUCAUAUACAUUUUUUUGAUGUUACAACCACUUAAUAAUAUGAACAUAUCUAAAAUGAUUAAAAUGUACUACAAAAGUUUAAUAUCACUAAGAUGUUCAUUAAUUUGGUCCAUUUAUCAUUAUCGUGAUUGCCAUUAUUAUCAAUUAUCAUCCACCAACAAAAAUGGCCAUCAUCAUUAACAAAAAUCACUAUUGUCAAUUAUUACAAUCAGUUGACGCCAUCACUAGCCGUCAUUUACAAUCAUCGCUACCAAUGACCAAGUGACCGACAAUCACUAUCAUCAGUUAUCACUAUACAUCACUAACAACCGUCAUGAAUAUAACUAUUAGUAUCAAUUGCUUACAUGUUUGAUCAAAAUCUGGUGAUCCGGAUAUACUGUUUUCCACCACAACUAUCAUUCAACACUAUCGGCUACGUAUUGACUUUAAUUAAUAUUGUCAUCCACCAUUAUUACUAGUUACUACCCAAAACCAUCAUUAGUCAACAUCAUCCCCAACCGACACCUAUAACUAUUGCCGCCGACAUCCACCACACAAUUUCUUUAAAAAUAUUUUAUAGAUACAGUAGCAUCAAAUUAAUUUAUCGUUUUAUUGAAUUUUUUAUUUAUUAUUUUUGUAAGUAAUUUAAGAUACAAUUAAUAUUAGUUAUUUUAACAUUCAAAUUAAUCUUAAUAUUUAAAUAUGCAUUUAGAUUCAAAUACCUUAAUUUUAAUUAAAAAAAAUAAAAGUUACACUAACAAAAAAUAGGCUUCACACAUCUAAGUUGAGUGGCAUUAUUCUAAAUUGUAAGACCAAAAUAACUCUUAACAUUAAACAAAAAGAGGUUAAAAGUUUGAGGAAAGAAAUACUAAACAUAAAGAAAGAGAAGAGAAACAUAUAACAUGAAUAUAUUUCUAAGUUUGCCAAAUUAUCUUAAUUGGAGAGGAAACUAAAAGUUCCAUCUGUUCAAAGAAAAUAUUUGAACGUUAAUAUGUAAUUUAAGGUUGUUUUGUGCACAAAUGUGAAUCAAGUUUCUCUACAAACGUACAAAUAUAUUAUGUUCCACUUUGGUUACCAAGUGCAUCCGCUGCUGCACUCGCAAUUCCAACUAUCUCGCUUGAUAAGGAUUCCGGGUUCAAAUCCCAUUUCAUUCAUUAUCGUUACUAUCACUAUUAUUCAGUAUCAUCAUUAUCAACAAUCACUACGCACAACAAUUAUAUUAUUGUCACGAUCAAUAGCCAUUACACCACCAUCCACUAAGCACUAGUGACAAUCGCUAUCAUCAAUCACCACCAUAUGGUGCCUAACAAUUGUCGGUCACUAUCACCCACCACAAUUAUCAUCUGUCACAACCAACUACGUACUAGCUUCAGCCACUAUUAUCAGUCAUUAUCACCACUAGCUACUAUCCACAACACUAUCAUUAACUAACAAUCGUCCCAUAUCGACAUUCACAAUCACCACCAUCAACUUAGACAGUACUUAUGGAUUGCUGAUUUGAGAGAUGAGCUCACGUGAUUUUAUGUAAUCAGACUUAGCCAGUUUUCUCAAGGAUCUACAAAUAUACAUGUUGUUCCCUGUUCUUAUGCCAAAGGAGUCCGCUGAAGCACUGACAAUCCAAACAAAUCUAAUAUGCUAGAGUAAUAGCAUCAUGCAUAAUGCAUUAGCAUAGAUCAAGAUCUCUGUCCUCCUUUUGGUUUGCUGGAUCACUAUACUAUGUUUAGAUAGCCAAGACAGUAGUUAACAUAAUAGCCAACAAAUUGAUACGUGUAGUAUACAUUUGCUUUCAUCUCUAACAAAAUAUCAUAGUAAAUCUUUGCAAAUUUUGUAAUUUGUGACCAUCAUAUAGCAUUUUGUUUACAACAUCAGUAUCAUCAACACCACUAAUUACUUUACUACCUAUGUUCCAGUCCCAAACAAGUUGGAUUGGCUAUAUAAAUACACAAUUCUUCAUUUAAGCUCAUAUUAUAUCAUCACCAAAAACGAAAAAUUGAAUCAAACUAGACAUAUGUUUAGUCUGAUAUGGUUUGACAAUGAAGGAAAAAUCGAAUCAAAGAAAUACCAAUUUAUUUAUCUUGAUAAGUACCUUAAGAUUAAAUUUAGUUUAAUUUCUUGUUUACAAAUUUGUCUAGACAAAUUUGUUCUUCCAUUGGAUGUAAUAUUUAAUUAGACAUUAUAGGGGAUCUACUUUUGUUCCUUCAUUGGAUACAAUAUUCGGCACAAAAGAAAUGUUACAAACGCGGGAAAGUAAGAAAGAAAAGCGACAACAUAAUAGCAAUAUACAAAACAAAUGUAACAACACAAUAAUACAUAUUGAAGGAAAAAAUCUACGUGAUACCAGAAUUAUAUAAGUAGAAGUACGACAAAACUCAACUGCCUACUAACCUUCUAUCCUGAUCCUCGAUCGACCUCUCAUACCUCCUCUUUUGUCCCGAAUAACUUCGUUAUUAAGAUAUGUAAAAAAAAAAUAAGUUAGAAAUUUCAAGGGAGUAAAAAAAAGAUAAAAUAUAAUAAGAAGGAGAAGAGAAACAUUUACCAUUAAAACUUUUCCAUGUUUGCCAAAUUAUCCUUAAUUGGAAGGAGCCAUUUGUUCAAAGAAAACUUUUGGUGGUUUGUGCAAUUUAAGGUUAUUUUGUGGAUAAAUGUGAAUUAAGUAUCUCUAGAAAUGUAAAUAUAAAUUAAUUUUUGUUGCCAAAAUUAGCAACUAAAUGUCCGCUGUAGCACUGGCAAUUACAAUUUGGUAAUCCGGGUUCAAGCCCCGGCAGCGGAAAAUCUUUUUGCAACAUAUUUUCCCUUAUCAUUUGUGUAUUUAAUGGAAUAUUUUCUUUUUUCAAACUUCCAAUAUCCCAUAAAUAUGUGACAUUCUAAAAUUAUUGACAGACAACACAAUUGCAAACAUUUAACUUAUUUGUGCUUAAAUUAAGGUCACAGUUUAAUCUUGAUCAUCAAAUAUAUAUAUAUAUAUUCAUAUAUCGUUAUCGUCAUCGCCGCCAUUAUCAAUUAUCAUCCACCAGCUAAAACGACCAUCACCAUCCACAAAAAUCACUAUUGUCAAUUACUACAAUUAGUUGUCACCACCACUAGCCAUCAUUUACAAUCAUCACCAUCAGUGGCCAAGUGAUCACUAACAACCUUCAUGAUAACUAUCAGUAUCAAUUGCUUACAUGCUUGAUUGAAAUUUAGUGAUCCGGACGUACUGUUUCCACCACAACCAUCAUUCGUCACUAUCAGGUACGUACUGACUUUAAUUAAUACUGUCAUCUACCAUAUCACUAGCUACUACCCAAAACCAUCAUUAGCCAACAUCAUCCCCAACCGACACCUAUAACUAUUGCCACCGACAUCCACCACACAAUUUUUUUAAAAAUAUUUUGUUGAUACAGUAGCAUGAAAUUAAUUUAUUGUUUUAUUGAAUUUUUUAUUUAUUAUUUUUGUAAGUAAUUUAAGAAAUAAUUAAUAUUAGUUAUUUUAAGAUUCAAAUUAAUCCAAUUAAUAUUUAAAUACGUAUUUAGAUUCAAAUAUCCUAAUCUUAAUAAAAACAAAUAAAAGUUAAUUUUCUUUUGUCAACUUUACUCUAACGAAAAAAAGGUUUCAUACAUUUAAGUUGAGUGACAUUAUUCUAAAUUGUAAGAUCAAAAUAACUCUAACAUUCAACAACAAAAUUUUUUUUAAAAGUUUCACGAAAGCAAUGCUAAAUAUAAAGAAAGAAAAGAGAAACAUAUACCAUGAAUACUUUUGUAAGUUGGCCAAAUUAUCGAGGAAGACUAAAAGUUCCAUCUGUUCAAAGAAAAUAUUUGGAUGUUAAUAUGUAAUUUAAGGUUGUUUGGUGCACAAAUGUGAAUCAAGUUUCUCUACAAACGUACAAAUAAUUGUUGUUCCACUUUAGCUACCAAGUGCAUCCACUGUAGCACUAGCAAUUCCAACUAUCUAGCUUGAUAAAAAUUUCAGGUUCAAAUCCCAACAACGGAAAAUUUUUCUUUAUAUAUUUUUUUCUUUCACCAAUUUCAUUCAUUUAUCGCUGCUACACUAUUAUCUAGAAUCAUCAUUAUCAACUAUCAUCGUAAUCCACAACAAUUAUUGUUGUUACGAUCACUAGCCAUUAUUUCCAACCAUCACUAAGCACUAGUGACAAUCACUACUAUCAAUCACCACCAUAUAGUGUGUAAUAACUAUCAUAAUUCACUGUCACAUUAGCAGUCACAACCAACUACCAUCUUCAGUCACUACUGUUAGCCAUCAUCAUCAUCACUAGCUACUAUCCACAACACUAUUAUUAACCAACAAUAUUCCCCAAUUGACAUUUAAAAUCACUGCCAUCAACUUAGACACUUAUGAAUUGCUUACUUAAUAGAUGAGCUGACAUGAAUUUAUGCAAUCAGAUUUAGCCGAUUUCUUCAAGGGGCUACAAAUAUAAGUUUUGUUAUCUGUUCUUAUGCCAAAUAACUCCGCUGGCUGCCGCACUGACAAUACAAACAAAUCUAAUAUGCCUUUAUAUGACUACAAAUGUUGAUAUGUUUCAAUAUUUAAUAUUUAAUAUUUAUGCUUUUAUGUGACUACAUGUUAAUAUGCUCCUAUUUUUAAUAUAGAAUAUUUAUAUUAUAAGUAUAUCGACUUACGUUUGCCAAAUUAUCCUUGAUCGAAAGGAACCAUUUUCAAAGAAAAUUGUUUGGGGUUAUAUGUAAUUUAAGUUUUUUCUGUGGAUAAUUGUGAACUAAGUUUCUUCAUACGUACAUAUAAUUUUGUUGUCAACAUCAAAAUCAAGUGAUCCGCUGUAGCGCUGGCAAUACCAAUAUGAAUGAAGGAAACCGGGUUCAAAUCCCGGCAGCAGAAAUAGAUUUUUAAAACAUAUUUUCCUUUACAUGUUUAUUUAAUUGCAAACUUUUAAAGUCAACUUAUAUAUGUAGUUAUGUACUUAAAUGAAAGUGUCAAGUUGUUUAGAUCUUAAUUAUCAAACAUAAUUUUUUUAAUGUUCGAACCACCUAACCUAAUAAUAUGAACAUAUCUAAACGAUUAAAAUAUGUAACAAAGUCUUAAUAUCACUAAUAUAUUUACUGAUUUAAUUUAUUUAUUACUUACCAUCGCUCAUCACUAUCAGAUACUGUAAUUGUUGUUACUAUCAACUACAACCUACAACCAUCAUAGCCAUCAUCAUACGCAAUAAUCAUUAUUUUCAAUUAUUACAAUUCAUUGUCACCGUCACUAGCCAUCAUUUACAAUCAUUACCAAUAGCCUACAGGCUUGCUAGCGGACUUGCUUGAUCAAAACCUCGUGAAUCAAGUACUAUCUCCCACCUCAACUUUCAUUAAUCACCACCAAUUACGUAUCGCCUUUCAUUAAUACUGCUAUCCAUCAUCAUUACUAAUUACUACCCACAUCAUUAGCAAACAUAUCCCCAAUCGAUGCAUAUAACCAAUCGCCAUCAUUAAUUACAACAUAAUAUUUGAAAAGUAUUUUACUGAUACAAUAGUAGCAAAUUAGUUUAGUAUUUUAUAUUUAUAAUUUAAUAAAUACAAAAAUUAUACAUAUGUUGUUUAAAAAAUAUUAUUAAUUAAAUAAUAUGACUUAUUUAUUAUUCAAAUCUUAAUAUAAUAUCUUAAUGUUUAAAUAUGUAUCUAAAUUCAAAUAUCUUAAUCUUAAGAGUUACGACAUAAACACCCCCAAAUUAUAUUCGAAGUUUCUAAGAGGCACGUAAUUUUACGAGGUCCUAUUACUCUUCUAAACUAUUUUUUCUGUAUUUUUUUUGCUGACAUGGCUGCCCAGUCAACACAAAAGGAACACAAAAAAAUUCUGCUACUUGGCAACCAUGUCAGCAAAAAGGAGAAGGCACUUGUGCCUUAUCUCUAAUCUUAAUAAAAACAAACAAAAAUUUACUUAUUUUCUUUAGCCAACUCUAAUCAAACGAAAAAUAGGUUUAAUACAUCUUAAUUGAAUGGUACUAUUCUAUAAAUUGUAUAAUCAGAAUAACUCUCACCAAGAAAACAUUCAACAUAGAAAUUUCAGACAAAAAAAAAAGAUAAACACAAAGAAAGAGAAGAGAAACAUAUAACAUUGGUACUUUGCUCAGUUUGCCAAAUCAUCUUAAUUCGAUGGGAAAAAUAAAAAAUUCUACAUUUUCAAAGAAAUUAUUUGUAGGUUACAUGUAACUGAAGGUGUUUUGUGCGAAAAUGUGCAUCAUCUAUUCAAUUAUAUUACGAUUCACUGGCAAUUCCAACUUUCUUGCUUGAUAAGCAUUUCCGGGUUCAAAUCCCGGCAGCGGAACAUAGUUUUUGCUAUAUUUUUGCCUUUCACCAAUUUCAUUUAUUAUUGCUACUAUCAAUAUUAUCAACAACUGCCAUGAUUCAUGGUAACCGUUAGCAAUCACUAUCAUCGACCACAACUUUCAUAUGUCACAGCCAACUACCAUAUUCAGUCAUUAUUGUCAGCCAUCAUCACCACUAGCUACUAUUCACAACACUAUCAUUAACCAACAAUCAUCUCCAAGCAACACUCACAAUCACUACCAUCAACGUAGACACUUAUAGAUUGUUAACUUAAGAGAUGAGCUGACGUGAAUUUAUGCAAUCCGACUUAGCCAGUUUCAACAAGGGGCUACAAAUAUACAUUUUGUUCCCUGUUUUUAUGCCAAAGGAGUCCGCUGUUGCACUGACAAUCCAAACAAAUCUAAUAUGCUUUUAUAUGCCUACAUGUUCAUAUGCUUCUAUUUUUAAUAUUCAGUAUUUAUAUUAACAACAGUACAUAUAUAGACUCCCCAGGAAAAUUCUGAAAAGACUUCGGCCAACGAGGUAGGAUGCGAUGGUAAAAUAAAUGCUAAUUAAUUAUGAUUAAGGGACAUGAACAAGAAAUUCAAACACAUGUCAUACAUAUAUUGACUUGAUGUAUACAUAGGGUUUGGAUAAAUUUUUACCCGGGUAGGACCCUUAUUCUCAACCCGGACAUAAUCUUCCGUGCUUUUAUUUUCGGAAGCGCUUUGACAAAAUAGAGGGGCCUCAAACGAAAAUACAAGUAGUGUAAGUAGGAGGAGAUUUUUGAAAAAUAAGUUGAAAGAAUGACAUUGGUGGUUGAAAUGAACCUUUCAUUAACAACCAACAAGCUGUAAUAUGCAGAGAAGGAAGUAAUAUGAAGUCAAACCAUUUUCAAGUUUCCCACUAGAAACAGCAAAGAAUCAAUACCCCUUGUAAUAUUUUACAUUCAACAACUCGUUGUACUUUAGGUGAAUUCUCAACAGAGCCUCAAUGUAUUUUAGCAACAUCACCUUAGCAAUUAUAGGCUUUACAUCAUCAUUCUUGCUAUACUUGCCAAACUUGAGGGAAAAAAAGAAGCAGCAAAUAGCAGCAGAGAAAUUGAGGAUAAUAACAGAAGCAUUAGAACAAGCAGAGGACAGAGUUUUAAGGUAUGAAGAAAGGCAUGACAAAUUACUUGACCAAAUAUGUUCACAUUACAUUGUAAGUCAAGAAAUAUUAGAAGCACUUGCCGGUGCACGAGACGCGAUGAAUGAAGCACUUGAAUUUGCAAUUACUCUCAGAAAUUUGCAGCUAGAAGUUAUCAGAUUGUACCCUUCAGAUGAAGGUGCUUCAAGGUCUGUUUGGUUACUUGGAAAAUCAAGAAGACAAAGGAACAGUAAUAACUAGAGUAAUACAUCAUGCAUAAUGCAUUAGCCUAGACCAUGAUCUAUGUUCUUCUUUUGGUUUACAUGAUCACUAUACUAUUUUUAGAUAGCCAAGACAAUAGUUAACAUCAUCG
rnacentral:lncRNA from 1 species